ensembl:lncRNA
GGAUGAGGAAUAAAGGACUUUUCUAUGGUUUCCUUUAGCUGUUGCUAGCUUGCCAUAUUUAUGCCUCACUAUUAGCAACUUGGAAGACAUGCGCUAUUUAGCCAAUUCUGGGUCUGCAGUGACCCCUUGUGGACAUUGUGAGAUGUUGCUUGUGUUGAGUAGAUGAUGUGUUGUGAUUGUUUUCCUAGUUAUCUAUGACUCUACUAAUGAUAAAAUUGCCCAUUUCUGUUUCCAGAAAACCAUGUUUAUAGUCACACGUGCUGUUUACUAUAAAACAAGAAGUUCAAGUUUGGCUGCACCGAAUUCAGAUUAAGCCUCACAAACAUUUUCAUGUAAACAAAUCUUUGGUGGGACUUAAUUUAAAAAAAUUAACCAAACUCCUGGACUGCUGCAGUCUCUCUCUUUUCUUUCGGAAAAGACCAAAGCAGACCCCUGGAUGGGGCUCAUCCAGCAGGGGGGCUUCUGCACAAGCUUUAGAAAAACUGCCCAAAAUGCAUUGACAGAGACAUUUCAGGGAUUUUAAGUCAUUCUGCACUCAGAUGGCUUAAUUGUUAAUCGCGUUAGUCAUGAAAAUUGUGUUAAUGGGGCUUAAAUGCGUUAACACUGACAGCCAUGAUUAUUAUAUUCUGUUUUUUGCCUGUCCUGUCCGGCAGUAUAGCUGCACAGGACAAGACGAGAAUGAGAAUUAUUAUCUGAAGGCCAAAAAAAUGCCCAAAAGAAUUAUUUUCCAAAGUGCAUCAUUACUGCUUUUGCUAUAAUGGCAGUCAUAUUUUAUUAGAAAUUUAUUAGGAUUUUUUAUUUUGAGAUAUUACUAUCAGAACAGAAAAGACCUUCCGAAGAAAGGAAAAAGAAAGAAAUUGGUGAGGAAGUUUACAGAAGGAGAGGGAGAGAAAGAAACACUGAGGAUCUGCUCCAAACCUGCUUAUAAGACACACUGAGCAGUGUGGGGAUUAGAGAAAUAUUUUGCUGCUAUUGUUAAUAACCAUCAUUACCAUUGCAUUAAUAAUUAAUAUUGAUAUUGCAUUCAGAUGUUUAAACAUAUUGGUACCCAAUUAGCCUUUAUUACAGGUGCAGUUAUAACCACUUUAAACUGUUGAGUUAAAUCUAUAAUCUUAAAUGCGUUUGAAUGCUUGUUAUAAUCUUCAAUGUGUACGUGCUGGCCUUCUGUCUGGUGGAAAGGUUACAAGGUUUAGCUGGUGAGGUGAGAGGUGAAACUGAGUGAAUGUCAGGUCGACACACACACACACACACACACACACUUACACAGCAGUUAGACUCAGGGGUCGGUGAAGGUUCAAAUGAUAUUUUGUAAAAGCUUGCAACUGCAAAAUUGUGUUUGCAAAAGAAGAGUUUGUUGCAGAAGGUGGGCCUGAUGUUCCAGAAGAUGAGCGCGGGCAGGACGUGCGACAGGAAGACUCCUGGGAUGGAGACGAGGCGAUGUUCUUUUCAAACUGUGUUAAAGGUCAUUGUGGUUUUGACUUGACGUGUGCAUGUUUUGUAUCUGAUGACGCAUGAGGGGGCGUUAACCCUGAUGAAUCAAAAGCAAUCUGAAGUGUCUUUUUGGGCGGAGAUCUACAGCUGAUGUUUUGCAGUGUACAUCUCCCCACGCUGCGUGUGUUCAUUAAAAUCAUCGUUUGACUCCACCCGGCCGGAUCAGUGUUGUUGUUUUGGAAUUCCUCCUGUAUCCCUCCUCAAUAUUUGAACCCUUAACAGCAGCACACAGGACUACAUGAUAUGUUUAGAGGCAGCAGCCAACCAAGAUAGUGUGUCUGUAACGAGAAACUGUUGACUGGGCAGCUGUCAUCUCCUCUGGAAAGAUUAGAAGCUCCUUCACUGUUUUUACAGUUGGGUUUUUUUCUGCGAUGAAAUGAUGCAGUCCUUCUGGUGGGAGUAAACCAGCUACAGAACCCACAACGGGACGCCAGCACUUGAUUACAGACAUUGGGGCCUGAAUAAGUACUUUGUGUCCUAUCUGUGCCAAAACAGGGAGCAGUGUGUCCUUAGUAGGAACCUGCUUGCACUCAUGUGCAUCAAGUACUUCCAGCAAUUCAUCUGUAUCCACUGAAUUGAAGUCAUCCAAAGCCUUCAGGAGAACAGAUCGCUCUUCUUGUGAGACGUCCAAAAGAAAGGAAUCUUUUAAACUACUGGUUGUCGAGCCGCACAAUAUCUCCUCCAGAAAGGGUAUUGCAAGCUUCACUGGGAAGUAACCAGCUUGUUUCCACCCUACAACAAACACUCUAGCUAUAGCCUGC